CAGUCGCCACGGGAAUACAGAGGGUGCAAGCGUUAAUCGGAAUUACUGGGCGUAAAGCGCGCGUAGGUGGUUUGUUAAGUUGGAUGUGAAAUCCCCGGGAUCAACCUGGGAACUGCAUCCAAAACUGGCAAGCUAGAGUAUGGUAGAGGGUGGUGGAAUUUCCUGUGUAGCGGUGAAAUGCGUAGAUAUAGGAAGGAACACCAGUGGCGAAGGCGACCACCUGGACUGAUACUGACACUGAGGUGCGAAAGCGUGGGGAGCAAACAGGAUUAGAUACCCCGGUAGUCCCUGUCUCUUAUAC
rnacentral:rRNA from 1 species